CUUUUUUCUUACCAAUUCGAGCAUGUUUUACUCCAUAUUAACUGAAAAUAGAUUUGAUUUGGAUGUUUUCUUUGGCACUACACUAAUAAGGCUAAUCAAGAUGAGAUUCCAAGCCUUAAAAAAAAAAUGAAAUCAACAUGUGGUUUAAUUCUCACUACUAAUACUACCCUGAAAGACUGUUAAGCUUCUGAUAGAAAACAAUAAAAAACAAGGAAAUUCACUGUUAAAACGGCAACAUACCAUAUGUCCUUUAAUACCUAAUUACAACAGGGGCACAAUAAGAAAGUCAUUAAACCUGCACCCUAUUGUGCAUAGGUAUCAGAGGACAUAUGGUGCAUUUCAACCAUUAGUAUGAAUUUGAUUGCAUCUGUGAUUUUCUGUUACAACUUUGACUGUAUUUUCCAGAAGAAAAUGUUGGUAGACAUAUUGGUCAUUGAGAAGAAUUGCCAACAAUGAGAAACGGGACCAUUUUUACCCCUCCAGAGGCUGUUGUUUUGCAGAGCAAAAAAAAUGGAAUUUGCUUGAAGAUACUGCUAAACUGCUUCUCCGACAUCAUAUUUACUACUGCUCUUAGAGAGCAUUAUAGCAGACUUUACAGAGGGGACAAGGGGAGAGAAAAAUGCUUGGAGAAAGAGGGAUGAAAGUGGGUGCAUCUGAAUUAGGGAGUGGGUCCUCAAGACCAAGAAGGAAUGUAUUGUACUCUUAGGGACUUCUCUGAGGCACAGGAUUUGGUGGGAAGGUUCAUGGUGCAGUCCAAGGGUUGAGCUUCUGCUAGGGUUCCAGGUUCUGUAAGAAUUCCUGUGCUCUGGCAGCCAAGCAUGAAUCCUUCCCUCUCCCAACUGGAGAACAUUCAGGUUGAGACAAUAGCAAAGAGCGGCCAAGAGUCUUGAAGACCAGAAAACACCUCUCACAAUGACUCUGCUUGCUGAAGUUUGCUGGGAUCCAUGUGGGUGAUGAAGAAGACCCUGGAGUAAAACAAAGGAAAGUGUUUUUGAAAGUCUUAUCUAAUAUAAGCACCAAUAUAAGCACUUAUCUAAUAUGGCACCAAGACUGGAGCUGCACAGACCAAGUGAUACAAAAAAAAAAAAAAAGAUGCUAUGGAAGUGGGAUAGAAAAAGACAUUCCCAUAGGGCGAUGCCUGCAUUGCCUAAAUCCAAAUCCCUUCCAGACUUUCUCAAUGUUUUUCAUAAAAUAAGUCUACAGUUUUUUCUUUAGGGCAUUGUUUCGUUGCCACAAUCGGAACCUAAUCUCCUUUGAAGCGUUAUUUCCAAUUAUACUUUCCCACAUUUUAGUACGUCUAAAUAUGGGUUUGACUAACAUCUUCCCAUGUAAGUUAGGAUCUUUGAGUGACGACACUGAGACUGUACAGCUUUGAGGGCUUCUGUGCCUUGAUGACAUUGUGGUAAAUCUGAAUCAAGUGUCUCGACUACACAGGAAUGAAGCAAAAGAGUAAAUGCCUUUAUUUUUGAGAUUAUUAGUAAUUCUGAGAAACUUAAUGAAGUUCAUGUAAAAUUUAGGCAUUUGAGUCGUUAGAAGUAGGAAGAAGCAAUGGGAAGAAGUCAGGACAAAUAGAGAUUAGGCUGGCCUGCCAUGUUCUGCUUGAUGAGCCCCUUUCUUCUACCUUCUAAUUCGCACUUGUUCUCAUGCUCUAGUAUGAACCCUUUCAGAGGAGAUGGCAGCUGAAGACCAAACGAGGUAAAAAACAACAACAGAGCCUGAACCAAGAUGAUUAAAAUGCCCUAAGCUGCCAGGGUCCCCGGGGCAUGUGACAACUCCUGGCCCAGCUGAGCACUGCUCAUCAGAGACCUUUCAAUAGUCAGUGUCUCCAGUUACUUUGUGACCUCUUUUACCUGAGAAGAAGGAGUUUUAAAACCUCUCUUAUCCACCCUAAACCUUUCAACACAAAUAUAGGAACGAGACAUACUGUGCUUUCUGAUGCACAGAAAUAAGUCUUGAAGUGGCUGUUUCAUUUGAUCUAUUUUGGUCCUCAGUGGAUUGAGGUCUAAGUGUGAAUUUAGACAGACUGGACCCCAUACUUCUUUGUGACUUUAAAGACCACGUAGCUUAUUGCUUCUAUUGAAAACCUGAGUCUAUUUAAAUUAGGUACUUGAUUUCUCUUCAACCCUUCUCAGUUUUUUUCCCCCUAAAACAUGCAUUAUUCAGGAUGAGUCGGAAAUAAAUUCUACAUCAUCCAUGGGUAUAGCCCUCUG
ensembl:lncRNA